rnacentral:lncRNA from 13 species
GUUUUCUUUUUUAUUUCCAUUAAUUCAUAUUAUUUUCUAUAUUUUUCUCUUAAAGACACACCAGUGGCUACCUACUGGAUUGAUUUUCCUGCCCCAGUUGGACACAGACAGGAAUAGAGGUUCUUCGUGCGGGUGUGUGCAUCGUGUGUUACUGAAGGGUCACAGGAGACAGCUCAUGACAGCAAAGUGGGGGCCACAGAGCCAAGGGCAAGCACCGAGGCCCAGGAAGGAAAGAUGGAAAAGACACUCCUGAGAACCUGGAAGUUUGGUAUUGACAACAGAAAAUGUACAGGUCAUUGACUGAACGUUCUGCUUGUUAAAUACACGUUUUGCGGUUUUGAAGAAAAAGACAAAAUGUAUAAGAAGCAGAUUAAAAUUAGAAACAUGAGCAAGAGUAGGUGGUGGAAAGUUAAAUGUAAGGAAGUAAACUGUUCCAGGAAAUUCUUUUAAAAAGCUUUUAUUUCAAGGUCACAAAAAUGUCAAGGAAGGAAGAAAAUGAUUAUUUCUUUAAAAAGAAAACUGGAAUGUAAAAGCUAUGACAGAACUCACGAGAGGUAGAGAGAGUGAGGAAGAAAAGCGAGUUCAAAACAGAGAGGAAGAAUAUUGUUGUGGAAAAGCAUUGAUUCUAAUUCCCAAUUUCUGCCAAGCAUUGAUGAUGGAGGAUACAAGAGCCAACCUUCUCUAAGAGGGGGAGAAAAAGAAGGAAGAUGUGUGAGCUCCCCCUGGUGCUUUCCCGCAUUCAGGCUGACUGAAAGGAACUGCAAUGAAACACGUCUACACAGGCAUCAGGAAAAAGAAAAUGUCUGGAUUCUUUCCUUUAAAAAAAUGCCUGUUUCCAUGCUGAUGGGCCUCACAGCAAGAACCUCCAGGCUUAGGGCCUGAAUUCUCCAUGUCACUUUAGGAGGAAUUCUUGCCUUGUCAGAGAACGUGUUUCCAAAACAAAAUUUCAAGUGGGGGAUUUGCCAAGCUGCCCCGAGGAUGGGAUUACUCUCAGAAUCAAACGGGAUUACUUUUUGUCCAGAAUUGUUCUCUUUGUUAGUCUAGUUAUUCUUUGACUGAAUCAUUUUCGCACACUUCUCUUUGUAUGUGUUGACAGCACAAAGUUAUCACAGGAACCAGCCAAUUUGACCAGUGGUGACUUUAAUUCCAGACGGCAUCUUCUAUCCUAAUAAGCUAUAUUCAUAAUGACCUCUUUAACCUGGGAGUCAGGGACUUCUGCGAACUCAUCUGAGAAGACUGUGGAGGAAAUUUCACUUUAUCUAUUCAAUAUACCCAAUACAAUGGACUGAAACAAUCUAUCGAUGUGUAGUCAGUCUUGCUCUUGGUCCAUAUGGUGGAGAGUCUAAAAGAUGUGUGAAAUUCAUUCGCUACCUACAGGUGGGAAAAUCACUUAAGGAACAAACUUUAGUGUUUACUAACGUAGUUAAAAUGAAUGGGUCAAUAUUAUCAUGUUUCUUUCACCUCGUAAGUAAAUGCAAAGCCUUUCUUCAUUCCAUUUUGUAUGUGUAAUUUUGAUUGGGAAUCUUGUAAAGCCAAAAAAUGGAACUGAAACCCCACUCAUAAGACCAUAAGUCUCUUUUUCUUAAUUUUUAAUUUUUCUUUUGAGACAGGGUCUCGCUGUGUUGCCAAGACUGGAGUAGAGUGGUACCCUCAUGGCUCACUGCAACGUCUGCGUCCCAGGAUCAGGUGAUCCUCCCACCUCAGCCUCCUGAGUAGCUGGGACUUACAGGAGUGCAUCACCACAGUCAGCUAAUUGUUAGAAUUUUUUUUUUUUUUUUUUUUUAAGAGACAAGGUUUUGUCAUGUUGUCCGGGCUGGUCUUGAACUCAUGGACUCAAGUGCCUACCUCGACCUCCCAGAGUGCUGGGAUUAUAGGCAUGAGC